rnacentral:rRNA from 1 species
GAUCCUGGCUCAGGACGAACGCUGGCGGCGUGCCUAACACAUGCAAGUCGAACGGGACUUGCCCCUUCGGGGACAGGUUUAGUGGCGGACGGGUGAGUAACGCGUGAGCAACCUACCUUUCAGUGGGGGACAACAGUUGGAAACGACUGCUAAUACCGCAUAACACUUAUUUAGGGCAUCUUAAAUAAGUCAAAGAUUUAUUGCUGGAAGAUGGGCUCGCGUCUGAUUAGCUAGUUGGUGGGGUAACGGCCCACCAAGGCG